ACGGGGCAUUGCCUUAGUACGGCGAGUGAAGCGGCAAAAGCUCAAAUUUGAAAUCUGGUACCUUCGCGCUGCCCGAGUUGUAAUUUGGAGAGGGCAACUUUGGGGCCGUUCCUUGUCUAUGUUCCUUGGAACAGGACGUCAUAGAGGGUGAGAAUCCCGUGUGGCGAGGAGUGCGGUUCUUUGUAAAGUGCCUUCGAAGAGUCGAGUUGUUUGGGAAUGCAGCUCUAAGUGGGUGGUAAAUUCCAUCUAAAGCUAAAUAUUGGCGAGAGACCGAUAGCGAACAAGUACAGUGAUGGAAAGAUGAAAAGAACUUUGAAAAGAGAGUGAAAAAGUACGUGAAAUUGUUGAAAGGGAAGGGCAUUUGAUCAGACAUGGUGUUUUGUGCCCUCUGCUCCUUGUGGGUAGGGGAAUCUCGCAUUUCACUGGGCCAGCAUCAGUUUUGGUGGCAGGAUAAAUCCAUAGGAAUGUAGCUUGCCUCGGUAAGUAUUAUAGCCUGUGGGAAUACUGCCAGCUGGGACUGAGGACUGCGACGUAAGUCAAGGAUGCUGGCAUAAUGGUUAUAUGCCGCCCCGUCUUGAAACACGGACCAACCACUCC
rnacentral:rRNA from 1 species